UGGGGAAUCUUGCGCAAUGGGCGAAAGCCUGACGCAGCGACGCCGCGUGAGCGAUGAAGGCCUUCGGGUUGUAAAGCUCUGUGGGGAGAGAAGAAUAAGGGUUGGCUAACAUCCAACCUGAUGACGGUAUCUCCUUAGCAAGCACCGGCUAACUCUGUGCCAGCAGCCGCGGUAAGACAGAGGGUGCAAACGUUGUUCGGAAUCACUGGGCGUAAAGCGCAUGUAGGCGGUUUGGAAAGUCGGAUGUGAA
rnacentral:rRNA from 1 species